rnacentral:lncRNA from 1 species
UUUAGUACCAAAAACACAUUAUAUGAUAUAAGGGGAUUUAAAUAAGUUUUAUUUUUGUUACAUGGGAUAAGAAAAAGAAACAAAAGAAAAAGAAGUAAAGAAAAACUACGUCCUAAUAAGGACACUCCCAUAGCAUCAGCUAGUAAGGCUGAAGAUAGACAUGAGAAUGGUUGAUGUACCAUCACAUGAGACUCUAAAUGAUUAGCACCUAAUUUUGUAAGUAUAUAUGAGCAAGAGUUUCCUUCUCAAAAAAUUUGAUGAAUGGAAAUAUCUCACUUCCUUUGACACUAAAUGCACUGCAUGAAGAGAGUAAGAAAAACAAAUCAGUUUCAUAUAACGAACCUCUCAGCAAAGCUUAAUCUUAAUCACAAAGGCAAAUUGCAAUUUUCCCUCAAAAUUCCUAACCAAUCCACCAUAUCAUGUUUUACCUAGGUUAGUUAAAGCGCUACCAUCUACGUUGAAAACCAGUGAAUCAUUAUCACCAUGUUGCCGGUAUACUUCAUGAGUGGGCCUAACUAGUGCGGUUGAAAUAAUAUUGUCGAAUGUCAGCUGCGAAACUUGCAAUUGCGCAUGAACAGCUGAAAUUGUAGUUGAGACUAUUGAUUAAAUAAGUUAUUUUAACCAUAUAAGUUACAGGUUCAUUUGUUAACUCGAUAAUAAUUUUAUAACUGACCUAAAGAGAGUUUUUAUGAGAGUGAAUGGGAGUACUUUAGACGAAAGGAGAGGGAAAGAGAGAAAUCUCCUUGAAUAUUUAAAAAAAAAAAUAUUACUGUAGAUAAUAAGAAAACAAUGUUAUAGCUUAUAUAUAUAAUAUUUUUAAUUAAAUUUUAUAAAAGUAUAUUAUAUAAAGAUGAAAUUGAAGAAGAUUUUUAAACCUCCAAAAUCCUUCCUUCAACCUUCCUAAUAAGCUUUGUGGAUUUGGGAUAGAAGGAGUGGUUUGCAUACUUAACAAAAUCAUUUAUUUUAAUUCAAAUCUUAUCACCAAUUGAGUAAUUUUUAAGAGUGUAUUUUCUUCGUUAAACUUUUCAUUUUGAUUUUUCCUCUAUUCUCAAUGACCACUACCGUUGAAACAAACCAUCCCAGUUAUUUUAUGUUUUAAAAACUCUUUUGUGUGGUCGAGAUUUAAGGGAUUCUAAAAGAAUCCCCGUAUUCAUAUUGGUUUACACAAGUUUCGAUCAUGUAGAACUUGAAUUUUGAACAAUGACAGAUCUCAACAACAAAAGUUUAAAAAACAAACAUUACAAUAACUCAUGGCUUGUUAAUUAAUUUAAAUACAUGUUAUUCAUAUGCUUCAUUAAUUAUUGAUACAAGAUUUAUAACAUAAUAAUAAUAAUAAUAAUAAUAAUAAUAAUAAUAAUAAUAAUAAUAAUAAUAAUAAUAAUGGCUGACCAAGCAAGAAUUUAUUUAAUACAAACACACCAAUGAGCAUAUGUUAACAUAGCCUGCCUAGCAAAUUUAGUAGCCAAAUAUAUCACACGACAACAUCAACAACAAGCUUACUAUGGCCUGAAUGUCUUCCAUUUGUGCAAUUCAAGACCACCUGGUCUGUUCCUUCGUGGAUAACUUUGAUUGGUUUCAACAUCAACGCCCUCUUCAAUUUCGUAGAUCACUUUAUCACCAUACCUAACCUCAGGUACUCGUUCAUACUCCACCACUUCAACCCUCUCACGAAUCACAGGGUUGUGGUGGUGGUGAUGGAGGCCAGGGGAUCUCUCGAUAUCAUCUUCCUCAUAGAUAACCCUCUUGUUGAAGGCCAUCUCGGCAUUUGGGUAGCGAGGGACGUCGGUGAGAAUACUUGGCUCCCUUCUGACACCUGAAAUGUGGGAGAGGUAGUCCUCGGAUCUCAACAUGAUGUCUUUCUUCUUUGUUUUUAGAUAACACUUGCUUAAUUACUGCCUCAACCGUGCAUGUAUUUAUAUCAACAAAUAUAUAUGGCAUAUGCUAUUCGUUAUUCUCAAUAUUAUUUAAAGUGAUAGUAAUAAAUUGAAUCUAAUUCCCUUCAUGCACCUGACUACAGCCAACAAUUGCUAAAAAGAAGAUAUGGUGGAGGGAAAAGAGGUUGUGCAAAAACAAUGUGGUUCAUUGUUCUUUGCAUGUUAUGUGACCAAAUUGGCGCGUCAUUUCAAUAGAAAAAUACCGGUAAAUAAGAGACAAAUAGAUAUCAUUCCGACAAACAUCUAUUUAUCUCUUGUUAAAAAAAAAAUAGAUGUUUGUCCGAUUGAUAUAUAUUGUAAGAGUAUAAGUUUAGUUCUGCUACCACCGAUGUAAUAUGUUAAUACUUAUGUCAUUGUUCUUUGAGUUUGAGGCAUGUUCUGACCCUAGACAGCCCGGUUAAUCAACUAAAGUAAACUUUUAUUAGUGGAAGAAAAUUAUUCCGAAGGUACGGCCAUUAAAAAUACUCUAAUCACAGGGACAGUUCUUUUAACAAUUGGCAUACGAAUUUUGAUAUAAGGCUUUUUCCUGUUUAAGAACUUUAUUUGGAUGUUAGGUACAAUUAUUUGAGUGUGUAAUAGAAUAGAAGAUGAUCUUACUUUAUUCUCUAAAUAAAAAUGUCAGUUCAUAAAAUUCUCUCAAGAUGCUACGCGCGUUGCUUUGGACAAAUUCUCUCGUGUGCGAUUACUAUUGCAUUGUCGUUCAAGUAGCUAUGUAUUAAUUAUAUUUAGUUUAUUACACAUUUUUAUAAGUCAUUGUUGUUGUUAUUUAACGGUGUUUUACAUAUAAAAAGAAUAGAAACACUGAUCCAUGCUUUUACUAGUUUUUACAUAGAGUCCUUAUACACAUACCUCAAUAGGUGGCACUACACCCUUAUACCACUUUGGAUGACAUAUUUUAUAAUUAAAACAUGAGUUCAGUCAUGCCAAUAAAAUAAAAACUCAAAAACAAAACAAACAAAAAACUAAUUUUAUUUUCUAUCUCUAAACAAAAUCAGAUCCGUCUCUCUCUCUCACACCACUGUUCUCGGCCCUCCUCGCCGCCGUCGCCGUUCCCCAGUGUCUCCGUUUCCUCGCCGUUGUUCGACCUCCUUCCACAUGCUUGUCAUCGCCGUCGUCUCCCUCUUAUUGCUGCUCACUCUCUCUUCCUUCACCAUCUCUUCUCUCAUCGAACACCACCACCGGCCGUCCCAGAUCCGACGCCAUCACCACCUCCACCGGUUCUCUUCCUUCACCGGUUCCUUCACCAAUUCUUUUAUGCUCACCGACAGAACCCAACUGAGAUCUGAGAUCAACAUCCCAAAAUCACUACUUUAUUACUAUAUCCAUCAAAAUUAAAAUUAUUGCAAUAUAUCUCAAAUUUUUGUUGUGGUAUGAAAGGGUGUAUCCAAAAGAUUGGUCUACCUAUCUUUUCCCUUUUACAUAUUAGUGUAUGAGAUAUUUAAAUCUAAGGAGGGUAUGUGCCUCCAUGAAAAAAGGUGGAUAUGUCCUAUAUGCAAGGACGGAAUUACGUAUAGUAUAGUUGAGGGGUUGUCGCCACCCCAAAAACUAAACUUUUAUGACAAUAUAUAUGUAGCAUCAUAUAUAUACUCGUCCACUUUGAGAGAGGGUGCAUUUGUUGAUCAACAAAAUACAAUGUUCAAGUGGUAACAUGUGUCACGUGAGACAUUUAUAUAAAUUUUCCAUGUUUUGCCAUGUUCCAUCAUCUUUUCAUAAUGUUGUUGUUGCUUUCUAGCUUUAAAAAUUUGUGUACAUUAAAUUUGCGUGUUUUAAAGAUAGUAGUAGUAGUGAUUUUUAUUUUUAUAGGAUAAAAAUAAAGCAUUUUUUUGACAAUAUAAAAUAAGGCAUCGUAAUGAUAAGUAAAAAAAAUAUGGAACUACGGAGUUGGAUCAAUUUGUAUUUAACAUUUGGAUAGUUGGAUUAGUGAAAGUGAGUUUUUCUUUUCGAUAAUAAGGAGUUCUUAAAUAUAAUAAUUCAUCUCAGAGUUAUUCUUGAAGACAGCUAACACAGACUAUCGAUCAUCACAUAACUAUGAAUUUUAGUUAAUAUUGAAUUGGAAGCCUAAUGAUAGUGCAACGGUAUGCUCGUGCCAAAACACAUUUGAUUGGAAGCCUAAUGAUAUGUUGAUGACAAGAUAUGAUGAUUAAAGUCCAUAAAACUCGAGUUUUGGAUUCAAUAUUUCAUAUUGCUGAUUCUUUCUUUGAUAAUGAUGAAUAACAAGAGAAUAAAUAGUUAAGCUCAAGCUCUAACUGUUAUGCCAUAUCAACAGAGACCCUAACUAAUAACUUCGUUACAUCAGUUGAGAAAUUUAACCACAUUAACUAACCCUUGUGAUAGCUAUAAUGAUGAUUAACGCAUUGUUUCAUAUACAUUGAUGGAUAUCCCCACCCAACUUAAUUGAUGGUUCCUUCGCAGAAAACACCUUGAGUUUGGUAGGUAUGGAAUCAAAGCAGGGGUAGAGUGGUUUAGUGAAUGAGUCUGAAAUUUGUAAGACCUAGGAACAUGCAACAUAACAAGUUGUUUGGCAAUUACUCUUUCUUAAACAAAAUGGAUGUCAAAUUCAAUGUGCUUUGGGUGAGGGCCGGGCCACAACACUUUAAUUAUCACAAGGGUUAGGGUAGGCAUCAAGGCUCAAAGAGUGUUUACAGAGUUACCUACAAAGGCUCACGGAUUUGGUUUACACAAGUUUUUGGCAUAAGUUUUGAUCGUGCUCACGGAUUUGGUUUACACAUGUUCAUUAAUACAUGAUAUAAAUAUGCUUCAUUAAUUAUUGAUACACGAUUCAUAUAACAUAAUAACGGCUGGCUAAGCAGGAGUUUAUUUAAUUAAUACAAACACACAUCGGUGAUCAUAUGUUAAGAUAUCCUGCCUUGCAUGUUAAGUAACCAUCAAACAAGCUUAUGGCCUGAAUGUGUUCCAUGAGUGACCAUUUGACCUGGUCCUUCGUGGGUAAUAUUGAUUAUUGGUCUCAACAUCCACGUCCUCUUCGUAGAUCACUUGACCACCAUAGGGCCUAACCUCAGGUACACGUUCAUAUUCCACCACUUCAACCCUCUCAACGAUCUCAGGGUUGUGGUGGUGGCGUCCAUGGCGCGAUCCUUCAAUCGCGUCUUCCUCGUAGACAACCCUCUUGUUGAAGGCCAUCUCACCAUUUGGGUAGCGAGAGUAGU